rnacentral:lncRNA from 1 species
GCAGGUAGCCUUCCUCUGUACUUUUGUUAGCUCUGUGAGACCUGCUCUGGAAAGGAACAAUUCAAAGACAUAUUUUUCUGGUGUAAUUGCAAAAUACCGUCACUCUUGUAUUGCCAUAAUACAAUAGCAGAUAUCCUGUUUUCCUCGGUUUACAAAGACAACUCAGUGUCGAGGGAACUGAAGACUGGGGUGUGCUGGGCUAACACAAAUUUAGCUGAAGCCAAGAAUGCCCUGGUUUGGCUCUGGAAAGAGUACUAAGCAGCCAAGGACAUUUGGAAAGCCAAAUCUAAACCAGUACGGUGUUUUGCUCAGUCCAUUCCCAGCUUCUGUGAGAUCAAUGCUGACA